rnacentral:rRNA from 1 species
AUUGAACGCUGGCGGCAGGCCUAACACAUGCAAGUCGAACGAGUGGCGGACGGGUGAGGAAGGUCUGGGAAACUGACUGAUGGAGGGGGAUAACUACUGGAACCGGUAGCUAAUACCGCCUACCAUCGGAUGUGCCCAGAUGGGAUGAGCUAGUAGGUGGGGUAAAGGCUCACCUAGGAGACGGUCCCUAGCUGGACUGAGAGGAUGACCAGCUAGACUGGAACUGAGACACGGUCCAGACUCCGACGGGAGGCAGCAGUGGGGAAUAUUGCACAAUGGGCGCAAGCCUGAUACAGCCAUGCCGCGUGUAUGAAGAAGGCCUUCGGGUUGUAAAGUACUUUCAGCGGGGAGGCGUUACCCGCAGAAGAAGCACCGGCUAACUCCGUGCCAGCAGCCGCGGUAAUUC